rnacentral:rRNA from 1 species
UACGAAGGGGGCUAGCGUUGCUCGGAAUCACUGGGCGUAAAGGGUGCGUAGGCGGUGAUGUAAGUUGGAUGUGAAAUCCCGGGGCUUAACCCCGGAACUGCAUUCAAUACUGCAUUGCUAGAGUACUGGAGAGGAGAUUGGAAUUCACGGUGUAGCAGUGAAAUGCGCAGACUAUCAGGAAGAACACCCGUGGCGAAGGCGGCUCUCUGGGACGGUAACUGGACGCUGAGACGCGAAAGCGUCGGGGAGCGAACAGG